rnacentral:rRNA from 1 species
GAUGAACGCUGGCGGCGUGCCUAAUACAUGCAAGUCGAGCGAACAGACGAGGAGCUUGCUCCUCUGACGUUAGCGGCGGACGGGUGAGUAACACGUGGAUAACCUACCUAUAAGACUGGGAUAACUUCGGGAAACCGGAGCUAAUACCGGAUAAUAUAUUGAACCGCAUGGUUCAAUAGUGAAAGACGGUUUUGCUGUCACUUAUAGAUGGAUCCGCGCCGCAUUAGCUAGUUGGUAAGGUAACGGCUUACCAAGGCAACGAUGCGUAGCCGACGUGAGAGGGUGAUCGGCCACACUGGAACUGAGACGCGGUCCAGACUCCUACGGGAGGCAGCAGUAGGGAAUCUUCCGCAAUGGGCGAAAGCCUGACGGAGCAACGCCGCGUGAGUGAUGAAGGUCUUCGGAUCGUAAAACUCUAUUAUUAGGGAAGAACAAAUGUGUAAGUAACUAUGCACGUCUUGACGGUACCUAAUCAGAAAGCCACGGCUAACUACGUG